rnacentral:lncRNA from 1 species
AUUUGUGGAAGUGAUCCCAAGCUUCUUCAGUUCAGACACAUGGUUUUAGUGAAUAGAAGUCACUCUACCAAAACCGGGUACUCUUCAAACAUGCCUUGCUCCGUACCCAGGCAGGCAACUGCACCCCUGCUUCCUGAGCCACCUGGGACUUGAAGUUCUACCAGUGUGGCUCCAAAGCUGCCCAACUAGAAACCCCAAAAGGCAAGAGAACUACGAUACCCACAAUUCAGGCUCCUCACCCGAAACCAGAAGAGGGCGUAUGGCUAGAGUUUCACCCUAAGAAGAAAGGGGAAGCAGGUGGAAAAGCAAUUAAAAAAAAAUCAGUUCUCUUUCGGUGAUUCAGAGCUGAAGGUGCCUCACUGCCCUGUGGAACAGGUGAAUAAAGCCUUCCCAGAUCUCUCUCUAGCCUAUUAUCUCCUGUUAGACACAGCCCAGAAAAUGAAUAGAGACAAGUCCUGGCUGGGUCUGGGUUCAGAAACAUAAUAGAAGGAUUCAUCUAAAUGUCAGCCACUGUGGAGGAAGUGAACCUUCUAGAUUCUGCUGACUCAUACAAUGAGUUUUGUGUGGACCAUCAGACAAAAGGGCUGGCUGGUGAAGGUGGCUGUUGUCUGGAAAGUCCUCUCAGCUCUCCUCUAAUUAUGUCAUAAGGACUGGAGGCCCCUUAGCCUGCUUGUAUAACACGCAAGGAAAUACGGGCCAACUCUUCACAUGAGCACAAGAUAUUUCCAUGCUAGCCUUUUGCAAGUAACAACAGAGAGAGCUCUGUGCAGUUUUCACUGGAAUGCCUAUGGUUUGCUUGUGUCAUAACUGUAAUCUAAAGAGUUGUCCAUUUGUUGAUUCCUUUGUAUUUGUAUUGGUAGAAUUGCCACUAUCAAACCAAGAUCUUUAGCUGUCUUUGUAUCAACUUCUGUGGAGCUUAUGUGAUUUUCCAGAAAAUUUCCAAGGUAUAGUUUUGUCCCUAAGUCCCAUGAAUAUGUAAUAUUUUGUGUCUCUCUAUUAAAAUAGCACUUUUU